GAUGAACGCUGGCGGCGUGCCUAAUACAUGCAAGUCGAGCGAACGGACGAGAAGCUUGCUUUUCUGAUGUUAGCGGCGGACGGGUGAGUAACACGUGGAUAACCUACCUAUAAGACUGGUAUAAUUUCGGGAAACCGGAGCUAAUAUCGGAUAAUAUUUUGAACCGCAUGGGUCAAAAGUGAAAGACGGUCGUGCGGUCACUUAUAGAUGGAUCCGGGCUGCAUUAGAUAGUUGGUAAGGUAACGGCUUAUCAAGGCAACGAUGCAUAGCCGACGUGAGAGAGUGAUCGGCCACCCUGGAACUGAGCCACGGUCCAGAGUCCUACGGGAGGCAGCAGUAGGGAAUCUUCCGCAAUGGGCGGAAGCCUGACGGAGCAACGCGGCGUGAGUGAUGAAGGUCUUCGGAUCGUAAAACUCUGUUAUUAGUGAAGAACAUAUGUGUAAGUAACUGUGCACAGCUUGACGGUAACUAGUCAGAAAGCCACGGCUAACUACGUG
rnacentral:rRNA from 1 species